rnacentral:rRNA from 1 species
GGGCCCGCACAAGCGGUGGAGCAUGUGGUUCAAUUCGACGCAACGCGAAGAACCUUACCUGGGCUCGAAAUGUCGGCUAACGGGAGUGGAAACACUUCUAUCCCGCAAGGGAGUCCGAUAUAGGUGCUGCAUGGCUGUCGUCAGCUCGUGUCGUGAGAUGUUGGGUUAAGUCCCGCAACGAGCGCAACCCUCGUCCUGUGUUGCAACCCCGCAAGGGGGCACUCGCAGGAGACCGCCAGCGAUAAGUUGGAGGAAGGUGGGGAUGACGUCAAGUCCUCAUGGCCUUUAUGUCCAGGGCUACACACGUGCUACAAUGGCCGGUACAAACCGCAGCGAACUCGCGAGAGGGAGCCAAUCGGAAAAAACCGGUCCCAGUUCGGAUUGCAGGCUGCAACCCGCCUGCAUGAAGCUGGAAUCGCUAGUAAUGGCAGAUCAGCACGCUGCCGUGAAUACGUUCCCGGGCCUU